UACGGAGGGGACUAGCGUUGUUCGGAAUUACUGGGCGUAAAGCGCACGUAGGCGGAUUUGUAAGUCAGGGGUGAAAUCCCGGGGCUCAACCUCGGAACUGCCUUUGAUACUGGGGAUCUCGAGUCCGGAAGAGGUUGGUGGAACUGCGAGUGUAGAGGUGAAAUUCGUAGAUAUUCGCAAGAACACCAGUGGCGAAGGCGGCCAACUGGUCCGGUACUGACGCUGAGGUGCGAAAGCGUGGGGAGCAAACAGG
rnacentral:rRNA from 1 species